rnacentral:pre_miRNA from 2 species
GGAUUUAUGUUCGCAGGAGAGAUGGCACUAAUUGUGCCACAAUUGUCAAUAAUUGUUGCCAUCUCUUCUGUGACCAAAAAGAUCU